rnacentral:rRNA from 1 species
UACGAAGGGGGCUAGCGUUGCUCGGAAUCACUGGGCGUAAAGGGUGCGUAGGCGGGUCUUUAAGUCAGGGGUGAAAUCCUGGAGCUCAACUCCAGAACUGCCUUUGAUACUGAGGAUCUUGAGUUCGGGAGAGGUGAGUGGAACUGCGAGUGUAGAGGUGAAAUUCGUAGAUAUUCGCAAGAACACCAGUGGCGAAGGCGGCUCACUGGCCCGGUACUGACGCUGAGGUGCGAAAGCCAGGGGAGCAAACGGG